AGUGAUCAGUUCUGUUUCUGUAUUGAGUGACAUUUACAUCCCUCUAAGGCAGAAAACGAUAAAAAAAACCCGACAUAGUAGUAGAUACCUGGAUUAGCCUUCCAGUGGGAGCAGUACAGGCUAACCGUGAUAUAGAAAUGGUAGUAGAUACCUGGAUUAGCCUUCCAGUGGGAGCAGUACAGGCUAACCGUGAUAUAGAAAUGGUAGUAGAUACCUGGAAUAGCCUUCCAGUGGAAAUACAGUCUUCUAACAAUACAUUUUACUGUGAUACUCAUUAGCGCGCGCACACACACACACAACUCAUACAUA